AUUUAUUUAGUAUAAAAAGUACAUUUGAUUUCCAAUCAAAAAGCCUAAUUUUAGAAUAAAUA
rnacentral:tRNA from 1 species